rnacentral:lncRNA from 9 species
AGCUUGGACCAGGUUGCAGCAUUUAACGGACUUUUCUAGGUUUCCAGAGUAAUAGACUGAUGUCUACAGUGAGGGAUGCACAGCUCGUUCCUCUCACACCCUCGGGUGUCCGCCCCUCGCAAAGACUCGGGAUUGGAACCUACGAAGGCUUCCCAAAUGCUGACCCAGCCCUGCACCAAGCCGGCCCUGCACCAAGCCGGCUGCCAGAACCUCCCAGGAGCCGGUUUCGAUAGAGAGGCGUCGCUGUGCCGCAGAAGAACCAGCACAGUUUUGGGCCGCACCCAUGGCAGGUGGAAGCUCCCGGGUCGGGGGCUGAACCCAUGCACAGCAGGGACAACCGUAUUUUGGAAAAGGACAGCAUCCUUUCCUAGGCUGCCCAGAAGCCACAGGUGGUUCUCCAGGCUGCGUCUGACCUGCACGUCCUGAAUUUCGUGGUGUUGUCCUGAGUCGGAGGGACGUUUUACAGGUAGGAGCCCAGCUGUGACGUGCCGGCUGCUCCCUGUGGCGACGUACUUCUGCCAGCAGCCCUGUCUUCCGGUGAGUGACCCAGGGGCCGUCCUGCUGCUGGAUCGGCAUCCGGGGGCGUCCACACCGCCAAGGGGAGACUGGGCCCAUGGGGACAGGAGGGCGGGCGGGCUUGGCCACCUGUCCAGACAGGAUUCUCUUCGAAAGCCUGGACAUGCAGGGUCUCUGCGUUCACCUGCACAUAGUAGGCCUUCUCUGACUUGCCGCUGCCGCCCUGUUCCAGGUAAUAAGAGCCUUUGCCUUAAGGGGAAACAGGUCCUAUUUUCCCUCCUUCGCGGCACCCUCCUAAGCGUGAAUGAGUGACUCAAGCAGCUCACACAGUCUGAGGACCUUUCCAGUGGUCAGGCCGGAGUCUCGAUGCUAUAGCUGCUUAAAUUUUCUUAAAGACCGAUUCUUGGGAUUUUAGCUAGCUGCCGAUUUUUCUCAAACAUUUUCUUUUUUAGAGCAAUUUUAGGUUCAUGGUGAAACUGAAGGGAGGUGCAGAGGUUUCCCAUAUGCCCCUGCCCCCCAGCCUCCCCACCAUCAACGACCCCACCGGAUGGGGCGUCUGUGACAACGGAGGAGCUCCCUGGACGCGUCCUCGUCCCUGCAGUGCGUGGUCUGCGCUGUGCUCCCCUCCCAGUGCUGAGCGUCCUGUGGUUUGGACAAACAUGCACUGACAGGCACCCCCCGCGUCACAUGGAGUCGUCUUGUGGCCCACGAAUCCUCUGAGCUCUGCCUGGUCACCUCUCCCUCCCUGCUACCUGCUGGAGACCCUGGGCUUUUCCUGCCUCCAUAGUUUUUCUGUAAUGUCACAGUGUGGGAGCCACACUCUGGAGCCGGGGGUUCUCUCACUUAGCAGUGGCAUUCAAGCUCCUAUGUGCUUUUCUAUGACCUGAUAGCUCGAUUCUUUUUAGCGCUGAAUGAUAUUCCGUCAUCUGGGUGGACCACAAUUUAUUUAUCCAUCACCUCCUGGAGGACAUCUUGGCUGCUUCCACGUUUUGGCAGUUUAGGAAUGAAGUUCCUGUAAAUGUUCACACAGGGUUUUGUGUAGAUGGAAGUUUUCACCUCCUUUGGGGCAAUACCAGGGGGUUGAUGCCUGGGUCCAAGAUGAGACUCCUGUUGAGUUGCACUGGAAACUGCCAGACUGUCUUCCAGGGGGCUGGGCCCCGCUUCGUUCCCACCAGCAGUGAAGGAGGGCUCCUCUCACCCUGUAUCCUCACCGGCGUCUGCGUCUCGGUGAUCCGGAUUCUGGCCCCCUAACGGGUGCGGUGGUGUCUCACGGUCAUUGUGACGUGCCUUUCCCUGACGACGGCGGAGGUGGAGCCUCUCUUCAUGUGCUCGUUGCACGUCUGCAUCUCGUCUUUGAUGAGGUGUCUGUUAAGUUGUUUGGCCCAUGUGUUAAUUGGCUUGUUUUCUUUUUCAGAGUUUUUUGUAUAUUUUGGAUAAUAGUCCUUUUUGCAAAGAUUUUUCUCCCAGUCUAUGGCUGUCUUCCCGUUUUGUUGACACUGUCUUUCACGGAGCAGAAAUUCUUAGUUUUAAUGAAAGCCGGCUUCUCACCUGUGUCUUUUAUAGAUCAUCUAGGUUUUCUCUUAUCUUUUGGGAGGUUUAUAAUUUUCAUUUUGCAUCUAGGUCUGUGAUCCUUUUUGAGUUCAUUUUUGUAAAGACGGAAGGCUGUGUCUAGAUGCACUUUUUUGCACGUGGACAACCAGUUGUUCAGCAUGUUUGUUGAAAAGACCGUCUUUGCUCCAUUGUGUUGUCUUUGCUCCUUUGUCAGAGAUCAGUUGCCUGUAUGUACACGGGUCUAUUUCUGGGCUCUCCACUCUGCUCCAUUGAUCACUUGAGCUUCUUUCACCAACGCCACACCGUCUUGAUGACUGUCGCUUUAGGGGAAGUCUUGAGGUUGGGUCGUGUCAGCUCUCCAACUUUGUUCUCUUUCGAUACUGUGCCCACUAAUGCUUUUUUAGAAACUUACUUUUGAAAUGAAAUGAACUGAGAUACAGAGAAAUACAACUUUGAAUCAUAAGAGACCAACAGUACCCUGGGCAUUUUAAUUUCAGGAGUAUUUUCCUGGAACUCAUUCCAGAAAUAGACAAAGAAAGGGGGGAAAGCUAAGGAAGGAUUUAUGUGCAUUUUUUCCCUCCUUGGUAAGUCCUGUGUUUCAACUCCCACUUGUCACACUGAACCACAUUAUCUGAUACUGAUACUUGAAAAUCAAGAAUCAUGCAUUCACAUAUAAAUGCAAAGUUAUUUUCUUAGAAAUUCAAGGAGCAAAUCAGCUGUCAAUAAGCUUUUAGAAGGAGAGUCAAGGAUUGCUAAGAAUGUGCGUAUGAGAGAGCCUUUCUAGUAAUAUUUGAGACCCUUUUUGCAACACCUGUUCUAAACUAAAUAAAACAUUGUAUGAAGCCUCUGGAGCAGCUUCUUUCUGCCCCCUUUGUGUUAUCACAGGAACACGGAAUGCUCACAUAUUCAUAGCAUUACGGACACAUGUGUCGAAUUGAUCAUGUUCCAAGACCUCUGUGAUCAAAACGGCCUCCAGUAACUGUAGAGUCCUUGACAUAAUCCACGUCUCGGUUUCAAGACCUUUUUAAACUUGCUACAAAUGCCGACUUAAUUCACCCAUGUGCGCAGAGUGCAGGCUGGAAUGAGAAACACCCAGCACAUCAGAACCAGGACGGGGCUCUCGUUUCAAAACAAAGCCAGUAUUUGGGUUUGCCUCGCCCACACCCUAGCACUUUUGCACAAAUGCCUUAGUUUCAAGCACAUGGUUCUUUUAUUCAAAGGUUAAGAGUAGGGGUCAGGGCCUGUGCUGGUUUUAUGGUUCAAUUUUCAGAAAUUUGUAAGCUGUAAGGAAGGCACUCUACCUCCUUGAAGCAGUUUCCACAGGGUUAGUCUUAUGGCUUUAGAAGACUGCACUUCCGGUGUCACCUGUCUCUGGGGAAGUGAGUCUGUCUGCAUCCUGGUGAACCCCUUCUUUCACUUCCCCACAGACGUCGGAGAGGGAGAGGGAGAGGGUCAGAAACAAACUCCAAGCAGGCCUUCUACGAAACAAGCUUUGAGGAUGCGGUAAGGCUGGCAGAGGAAGCGGAGGAAGCGCUUUUGGGAGUCACUGCAAGGAGGAGUUGUAAGGAUGCCGUCACACAAAGCCUGAAGGUGACAUUGUUGAAGACAUGGCAGACAGAAGAACAGGGUAUGUGCGCAGAAGCAGGUCCAGCCUUUGGUGUCCUGGGGCUGCAGCAGGUAAACUAGGAGUGGCAAGUGGACAUUUGCAGUGAGAAGGCGCAGGGAACUUGGGAUUAAGACACGGAUGCACAGUCCUGACGGAUGUGCCCGUGGACAGCGAGUCUGCAGCCUGCUGGGAGUGGGGAGUGUGGCAGCCUGGGGACCUCAUGCCGAGAAAGUUGAAACCCUGUCCCUGAGCAAAAGCCCUAAAGAGAGCAGAGUCCCAGAGUCCCUGCUGCAUCUCGGCAGAGACCGCCCAAGACCCCAUUCAGAGGUGGAGGCUUCCAACCAGCCAGCGGAGGGCACAGAGCAACGGGCCUUGGGCUGCGGGCAAUGGGGUUGUCGUGCCUCCAUCCAUUUAUCCCACUUUUUUGAAAAUAGGAAGUGCCUUUGAGUAACACGCUGCUUGCUCUUAAUAUCGAUAUUCCUGGAAAAUCACGCAGUCUCCUCUCUGGGAUGAUGCUCAAAACAGAACGAGAAUAGCAAAAAAAUGAUCUGUGCUUUGGUGCCUGGGGCCACCCUGGCUGUCCCGAGCGCUUAAGAAGCUGCUCUCUCGCUGCAGACACUGUGCCCCUGGGACGGGGACUCAUCACAGACGUGGCCACCUCGGUUGAGAGGAAACCCCUUGAUGAGAGGGUCAUGGAAGGCCGGCCCUCAGUGAGCCUGAGGCCCUGAUGCCGCACGUCUGGGGUGACGACUAUGAAGGUGGCUUAAAGCAAUGGCAGCAACGUGGGGACACUUCAAACGCCUGCCCCCCACCCCAGGGAGUGCGCCCACACCGGGGUGUGUGUACAGUAACACAGUAAUGAAACAGUAAUGAAAACUUAAGUGCAGAUCGGUCCUCCCUCAAACCCGAAAGACCCUCAGCCAUGAUGAAUGGUCCCUAGUGAUGAAUGUGGCACUGAGAUGCCCAGUGGUCAGGGGGCCAGCACAGAGCAGAACCCUGGAGGCCACAGCUCUCACAUGGAGACGCCCCUUGGGCAGUGGACAGACAUGGUCUCGCAGCCACAGGGCGUCAGGACCGCGGGGCUGGGCGUGGAGCUGGGGCUCGGGGCUCCAUAGGGCGCCCCUGCUUCCUUCCCUUGGCUGCCCAAUUUCCCUCCAGGCCCUGCUGGUUCCCAGGAGGCGCGGGGGUGGAUGCAGAACCCCAGCCAGCGACUGUUUUCCCACCCUGUUCUGCUGCUUUUUGUCAACCCGGUCUGGGGACCACCUUGCGGGGUGACAGGCAGUUCCAUUUCCAGUCCCAUCUCCUCCUUGGCCUCUCUGCCGCCGCUGCCCACAAGGCACCAAUUAGGGGAAGCCCGGGGCUGGAGGGAUCCAGAAGUCGCUACUGUACUGCAUAUGUGUGUUUUGACAUCUCGCUUGAACUUCAACCUGGCCUGUGCUCCCGUGGGAGC